ACGAACGCUGGCGGCGUGCUUAACACAUGCAAGUCGAACGGUGAAGCGCCUUCCUUUUUGGUGGGUGUGGAUGAGUGGCGAACGGGUGGGUAACACGUGAGUAACCUGCCCCCUUCUUCUGGAUAACCGCAUGAAAGUGUGGCUAAUACGGGAUAUUCUGGGUCUGUCGCAUGAUGGGUCUGGGAAAGAUAUUGUUUCGGUGGGGGAUGGGCUCGCGGCCUAUCAGCUUGUUGGUGGGGUGAUGGCGUACCAAGGCGGUGACGGGUAGCCGGCCUGAGAGGGUGGACGGUCACACUGGGACUGGGGCACGGCCCAGACUCCUACGGGAGGCAGCAGUGGGGAAUAUUGCACAGUGGGCGCAAGCCUGAUGCAGCGACGCCGCGUGAGGGAUGGAGGCCUUCGGGUUGUGAACCUCUUUCGCCAGUGAAGCAGGCCUGCCUCGUUUGUGGGUGGGUUGACGGUAGCUGGAUAAGAAGCGCCGGCUAACUACGUG
rnacentral:rRNA from 1 species